rnacentral:tRNA from 1 species
AGUUGCUUAGUUUAUUAAAAAUAAAGGUUUUCAAAACCUUCGAUGGGCUUGUACCAGUGGCUG